CACGGGCCUGAUCCAGAAACCAAUUAAACUUUGGGCCUGAAUGCAAAUGGGCCCUGACCUGAACCAGAGAGCAAUUGGGUCAAACCCGAACCAGAAGGUGAACCAGACCUGAACCAGGAAUUUAACCAAAUCUGAACCAGGAAGUAGAUUAGACCAGAACCAGAAAUUGAAUUGGGCCAUGGGCCUGAACCAGAAAUUAAAUUGGGCUAUGGACCCGAAAAUGAAAUUGAGUCUUAUGGAUGGGUUGUAAAUGACUUUAAGAUUAUAAAUAAAUAGAAAUUAAAUAUGUAAGUGACAUGUAAUUUAAUGAUCUUGCUAGGUCUUGAAGAAUUGGCAUUUGAUGGGCAAAUUAAGAUGAAUAGGAGAUGCUAGGAACAAGGAGCGUGACAUGCUUCAGGGUUAUGGG